rnacentral:rRNA from 1 species
GACGAACGCUGGUGGCGUGCUUAACACAUGCAAGUCGAACGGGAUUUAGUAAACAGAAGCCUCGGUGGAAGAUUACUAAUGAGAGUGGCGAACGGGUGAGUAACGCGUGAGCAACCUGCCUAUGACAGUGGGAUAGCCUCGGGAAACCGGGAUUAAUACCGCAUAAAAUCGUAGAAACACAGGUUUUAACGCUCAAAGAUUUAUCGGUCAUAGAUGGGCUCGCGUCUGAUUUGCUAGUUGGUUAGAUAAUAGCCCACCACAGCGACGAUCAGUCGCCGGCCUGAGAAGAUGAACGGUCACAUUGGAACUGAGACACGGUCCAAACUCCUACGGGAGGCACCAGUGGGGAAGAUUGCACAAUGGAGUAAACCCUGAUGCAGCGACGCCGCGUGAACGAAGAAGGUAUUCGUAUCGUAAAGUUCUGUCCUAUGGGAAGAUAAUGACAGUACCAGAGAAGAAAGCUCCGGCUAAAUACGUG